CAACGAUGAAGAGUUUGAUCCUGGCUCAGGAUGAACGCUAGCGGCAGGCCUAACACAUGCAAGUCGAGGGGUAACAGGGAGUGCUUGCACUCUGCUGACGACCGGCGCACGGGUGCGUAACGCGUAUGCAAUCUACCUCUUACUGAGGGAUAGCCCAUGGAAACGUGGAUUAAUACCUCAUAGUAUUAUAGACUGGCCUCAGUUUAUGAUUAAAGGUUACGGUAAGAGAUGAGCAUGCGUCCUAUUAGCUAGAUGGUAAGGUAACGGCUUACCAUGGCUACGAUAGGUAGGGGUCCUGAGAGGGAGAUCCCCCACACUGGUACUGAGACACGGACCAGACUCCUACGGGAGGCAGCAGUGAGGAAUAUUGGACAAUGG
rnacentral:rRNA from 1 species